GAUGAACGCUAGCUACAGGCUUAACACAUGCAAGUCGAGGGACCGGCGCCCGUGUGAGUAACACGUAUCCAUCCUGCCCUUUACUCGGGGAUAGCCUUUCGAAAGAAAGAUUCAUACCCGACAUAAAGGUUGGUGAUGGGUUCCAUUAGGUGGUUGGUGAGGUAACGGCCCACCAAGCCUUCGAUGGAUAGGGGUUCUGAGAGGAAGGGCCCCCAGAUUGGAACUAGGGCACGGUCCAAACUGCUAGGGAAGGCAGCAGUGAGGAAUAUUGGUCAAUGGGCGUUAGCCGGAACCAGCCAAGUAUCGUGAAGGAUGAAGGCUUAUGGAUCGUAAACUUCUUGUAUAGAAGAAGAUGUAUUAUAUGAAGAAGGAUCGGCUAACUCCGUGCCAGCAGCCGCGGUAAUAC
rnacentral:rRNA from 1 species